GAUGAACGCUGGCGGCGUGCCUAAUACAUGCAAGUCGAGCGAACGGACGAGAAGCUUGCUUCUCUGAUGUUAGCGGCGGACGGGUGAGUAACUCGUGAAUAACUGACCUAUAAGAUGGGGAUAACUCCGGGAAACCGUAGGUAUAACGGGUUAAUAUUUGUAACGUUAGGUUUCAAAAGUGUAGAGGGGUCUUGCGGUCACUUCUAUAUGGUGCCGCGCUGUUUAAGCUAGUUGGGAAGGUAACGGCUUUCUAAGGCAAGGAGGCAUAGCCGACCUGAGAGGGUGAUCCGGCACACUGGAACAGAGACACGGUCCAGCCUCCUACGGGAGGCAGCAGUAGGGAAGCUUCCGAAAUGAGCGACAGCGUGACGGGGCACCGCCGAGUGAGUGAUGAAGGUAUUCGGAUCGUAAAACUCUGUUAUUAGGGAAGUACAUAUGUGUAAGUCACUGUGCACAACUUGACGGUACCUAAUCAGAAUGCAACGACUAACUACGUG
rnacentral:rRNA from 1 species